AUGCGAGUUGAUGGGAAACCUAAAGUUCCCAUGGCAAACUGCUCAGUAACACAUGAUCAACUUACCCUAUAGAGAAAAAUAACCUCGGGAAACUGAGGAUAAUGUUUCAUAGUUGAAUUGGCUUGGAAAAGUUUUUCGACGAAAGGGGUAAAAAAAAUGGUUUUUAUCUGCUAUAGGAUAGGAUCGUGUUCGAUUAUGGUUGUUGGUGAGGUAAUGGCUCACCAAGCCGAUAAUCGAUAGGGGCCGUGAGAGCGGGAGCCCCGAGAUGGGUACUGAGACAACGACCCAGGCCUUACGAGGCGCAGCAGGCGCGAAACCUCCGCAAUACACGAAAGUGUGACGGGGUUACCCAAAGUGUUCAAUUUUGAACUGUGGUAGGUGAGUAAUGUUCCCUACUAGAAAGGAGAGGGCAAGGCUGGUGCCAGCCGCCGCGGUAAAACCAGCUCUUCAAGUGGUCGGGAUAAUUAUUGGGCUUAAAGUGUCCGUAGCCGGUUUGGUAAGUUCCUGGUAAAAUCGGGUAGCUUAACUAUCUAUAUGCUAGGAAUACUACUAUACUAGAGGGCGGGAGAGGUCUGAGGUACUACAGGGGUAGGGGUGAAAUCUUAUAAUCCUUGUUGGACCACCAGUGGCGAAGGCGUCAGACUGGAACGCGCCUGACGGUGAGGGACGAAAGCCAGGGGAGCGAACCGGAUUAGAUACCCGGGUAGUCCUGGCCGUAAACGAUGCAUACUAGGUGAUGGCACGGCCAUGAGCCGUGUCAGUGCCGUAGGGAAACCGUUAAGUGUGCCGCCUGGGAAGUACGGUCGCAAGGCUAAAACUUAAAGGAAUUGGCGGGGGAGCACCACAAGGGGUGAAGCCUGCGGUUCAAUUGGAUUCAACGCCGGAA
rnacentral:rRNA from 1 species